rnacentral:rRNA from 1 species
AGUGAACGCUGGCGGUAGGCCUAACACAUGCAAGUCGAACGGCAGCACAGUAAGAGCUUGCUCUUACGGGUGGCGAGUGGCGGACGGGUGAGGAAUACAUCGGAAUCUACUUUUUCGUGGGGGAUAACGUAGGGAAACUUACGCUAAUACCGCAUACGACCUACGGGUGAAAGCAGGGGUUCUUCGGACCUUUUGCGAUUGAAUGAGCCGAUGUCGGAUUAGCUAGUUGGCGGGGUAAAGGCCCACCAAGGCGACGAUCCGUAGCUGGUCUGAGAGGAUGAUCAGCCACACUGGAACUGAGACACGGUCCAGACUCCUACGGGAGGCAGCAGUGGGGAAUAUUGGACGAUGGGCGCAAGCCUGAUCCAGCCAUACCGCGUGGGUGAAGAAGGCCUUCGGGUUGUAAAGCCCUUUUGUUGGGAGAGAAAAGCAGCAGGUUAAUACCCCGCUGUUCUGACGGUACCCAAAGAAUAAGCACCGGCUAACUUCGUG